UAUCACCACCACCACCUCUACGCACAGGCAGAGAGAACACUAUCGAGACAAAACUCCACAAGAGAGCCACAGAACAACAACAAGAAGCAGCACACACUCCGAAGCUGCUCACACACACACCCACACACACACACAUAUAUAUAUAUAUAUAUAUAUAUUUGUUUGCCUGCGUGCGCCCUUCUCCACCUCUCCAGCCUCGCCAACCAUCCCUCCACUUCCUCUUUUUUUUUUGUUCUUGGCAUUACAGCCCCAAGAUGCGUCAACGCAAAGGCGUGCCGGCCCCUGUGGUCCCAUCCGCCACCGCUACGUACGCGGCAUACCCAGGCAGCUCGGACAGCGCCCACACCGCGCACCAAGCAAGCUCAACGAACACCCGUGACCUCAACCACCGAGCAGCAACCACUGCCGCAACGGCUACAGAUGCUGACUCGUUUCAGCGGCGUGCAAAUCGGCUUGAGGAGAUGGAGCGCUCCCUCUACUACACGCCGCAGCUCUUGUGGCUGCAGGUGAUGGACCGAAUGCCGUACGAGCUCACUCACUACUUUGUGUCCUCCCCCCCACCCCACCACGAGGCGAUGCUGAGUGGAAUUCGUGAGCAGUACGGCCGGCCGUACUCCGCAGAGAAGCCGUUCGAUGUCGAGCUUCUGGGCCGCUUGUGGAACGGCCAUAGCAGGGUGAUGUUUGCGACGGACAACCUGGUAUUCUCGGCAGCGGCUCACUCGGUGAGUGAUCGGUGGAAGGAGAUGGGCUUUCAAGGCACUGACCCCUCAACGGACUUUCGUGGAGCCGGCAUUUUUGGCCUCGCACAGCUCGUGUACCUCGUGGAACACCACCCUGAGCAGUGGAGCGCGAUCCUGACUCCCGACUUCAUGGCCGCCGCCGCGGGGCUGAACGUGACGAUGCGCCUCGCGACACUGCUUGGCAUCAACUCGUCCCUGAACCAGUUCAGCAGCUCGGUUCUCUCCACAUAUUCCGCGCGCGAGGCGCGUCUGCGGUUGUGCCGCUUCAUCUUCGAUCCGAGCGUCGAUGUUGCCACUCAGCGACUGAGCGAGGUCUACUGCUUUGCCAUGCGUCUUCUGCAUUACCGAUGGAUGCGCUCGACGCGCAACAUCAUGGAGCUCAAUCAGCAGCUUAGCAAUAUGUACACGGAGCUGGACCGGCUGCUGUUUCUGUGUAAUACACUAGAGGAACUGUGCAGCCUCCUGUGAUGGGGCUGAGCUUUCCGUUCUCUCAGCAACGCCGCCGACGAACGCGCAUUGCUGACAAGAAAGCCUCCAGUCCCGCUCCGUCUGCGGGUAUUAUGCAGCGACUGGAGCAACGCUAUACUCUGCUUCUCUCUUCUGGGUCACGCGGCUGGACACCCCGCACCUGCGCGUUUCUCUAAUGUGCGUCAAAUGUGUGUGUGUGUGUCUUGGGUGACAUUGUGUUGCUGACACGUUCCCUUGUCUCUUCCGAGACUUCUCUCGCUUAAGCUCGCGCGUUCUUCGUCAGCUGUGAAGGGUGGACACACUCGGGCUCCUCUCUUUUCUCGUGCCGGCCUUCUGUCGCUCCGUUGCUUCGCCUUUUGCCGUUCUGCCCUCUCGUGGUGGCACUCUCAGUGCUGG
rnacentral:misc_RNA from 1 species